rnacentral:rRNA from 1 species
GAUGAAUGCUGGCGGCGUGCCUAACACAUGCAAGUCGAGCGGCAGCGCGAGUAGUUUACUACUUGGCGGCGAGCGGCGGACGGCUGAGUAACGCGUGGGAACAUGCCCCAAAGUGAGGAAUAACUGCCCGAAAGGGUGGCUAAUGCCGCAUAUGGUCUUCGGAUUAAAGGAUUUAUCCGCUUUGGGAGUGGCCUGUAUUGUAUCAGUUAGUUGGUGGGGUAAUGGCUUACCAAGACUAUGACACAUAACUGGUUUGAGAGGAUGAUCAGUCACACUGGAACUGAGACACGGUCCAGACUCCUACGGGAGGCAGCAGUGGGGAAUAUUGCACAAUGGACGAAAGUCUGAUGCAGCAACGCCGCGUGGAGGAUGACACAUUUCGGUGCGUAAACUCCUUUUAUAUGAGAAGAUAAUGACGGUAUUAUAUGAAUAAGCACCGGCUAACUCCGUGCCAGCCGCCGCGGUAAGAC